GUCAAGACUGGGGGACGCAGAGCUGGUCACGUCGGGCUCUGGGCGGUGAACUCAUGGAGCCUUUUCUCCUUUUCUCAGGACCAUGUUCUCUGCAGAGGCCAAGCAGGAGCUUUCCCUUCUUUUUGAGGUGUGGUCCUCUAUGAGUACCUUGUCACCUUUUUGAUGCUUCUAAGAUGGUUUUUGUAUUUUCAUGGCCUUUUAAGCAAUUUUCAGUGAGGAGAACUGUCCAUACAAUCCAGCCCAUCUUUUCCAGUCAUGGAAAUUCUGUGGAAGAAGAGCUCAGUCAAAAGGUGAUGGGUCUGGAGUAGAGGAUCAGAAUGGGCGUCGUGACACAUAAUCUGAAGAUGAUUGUCAAGUGUUUUCUGAGUGUCUAGAACAACUCAAAUACACAUGGAAGAAAGAGAAAAGGAAAAAAAGGAGAGAAGGGAGGUGACUUAAGGAAUUCCUUUCUUCCAGAGAAAUAUCCCGAUUGCCAGUACCGACUCCACCCCACCCCCACCCGCCAGGAUGCAGGGGGCAGGGAGAAUCAAGGGAGAGCCUGUACUCAGCUCACAGCCUGGGCUACUUGGACACCAUCUCUUAAUUUGCUAAGACAGUGGGGACCACUGUGCCAAAAAGACUGGCAGCAGGAGUUGUAAAAAGACCUGUCUAGCUGGUGAACAUGGAGGUCAUUCCUGGAGAGCAGAGGACAGGAUGUCAAGUGGAGCCUGGAGACCACAGUGACUACAAGGAGAUUAGACAGGAGUCUGGGUUCAGGUGUCUCCUGAACAUUUCCCUGAGAACACGAAAACCACCUGCCCCCCCCUCAAGACCUACAGGACCCAGGCGUCCCAACACUGUUCCCAAGGACACCAAGCAUGGACCCUCCUGUGCAGGCAUCAAACUUUCCACUCUUUGAAGCUUCAAGGACUCCCUAUUCUCCUCCUCAGUCCCGAGAGCCCAGGACCCCAGCAUCCUGCCUCUUCUUUCCCUUUGUGGACCUAACAGACAGGGACCUGCUGUCCGGAUCCCUCAGGUUUGUCUCUAGCCACCUCCAGACCCUGAAAUUAAAUGUCCUGUAUUCCUGGA